rnacentral:misc_RNA from 1 species
AGGCACUGUGAUUUGUUUUCUCUUCCCUCUUCUCCCAGCCGCCGCGCUGCCGCUGACCAGCGCCUCCUCAGCCAGCUCCCCGGCGCGCAGCCCCAGGCGCCGCUGCCUCCUAGCAGCCGCGCAGCCGCCGGCCAGCGCCUCUUUGGCCAGCUCCCCGGCACGCAGCCACUUCGCCAGCUUCACCAGCCGCCAAGCACCAGGACCACGCCAUGGCCGUCGGUCUCCUCAUGGUCGCGCGACUUCCCUAGGGUGCGCCCAGCCGUGGUGGCUUCCGACCUUCUCUCCUUCUCCUCAAGCCGCUGGCCAGCUCCUCGAAGUCACGCCGCCUCCGGCGGCCAACACCUUCCCGCAGCCGCCGGCGCCCGCCAGCCGCCGCUGCAGCCCCACCGGCCGCCGCCCAGCCACCGCGGUCGUGCCCUGCUCCACCUUGCGUCAGUAGCAGCAUCGCGCCCAGCCUCCUCCCAGGCGCCCCUGCUCCGACCCGUCUGCACCUUGCC